rnacentral:rRNA from 1 species
GAUCCUGGCUCAGAUUGAACGCUGGCGGCAGGCCUAACACAUGCAAGUCGAACGGUAACAGGGAUCAGCUUGCUGAUUCGCUGACGAGUGGCGGACGGGUGAGUAAUGUCUGGGAAACUGCUUGAUGGAGGGGGAUAACUACUGGAAGCGGUAGCUAAUACCGCAUAACGUCGCAAGACCAAAGAGGGGGGACCUUCGGGCCUCUUGCCAUCGGAUGUGCCCAGAUGGGAUUAG